UUUGGAGAUAUACCUAAUGUUAAAUGAUGAGUUACUGGGUGCAGCACACCAAUAUGGCACAUGUAUACAUAUGUAACUAACCUGCACGUUGUGCACCUGUACCCUAAAACUUAAAGUAUAAUAAAACAAAACAAAACAAAAGAAACACCCUAUGCUCCACUCAGCUGGGAGGCCUGCACAGCAGUGAUCUGUAUUGAAUGAUAUGAUUAACUGAUAAUUGCUACUGUAACUAAGAUUACAGUUUGACAUUGCUGCCCACCUGCCUUUCUACCAGGGUGGUAGUUCACUAAAAUAUUAUACAAUCAGAUAAAAUGAAUUAAACUCAGCUUGAAUUGUAGAGUAUAUUAAAGUGAUUCAAAUUAUGGCCAUAAGAUAUUGAUUAGAUCAGUAGUUUGCAGAAUGUGGCCCCCACCCAAUAGAAACAACAUCAUCUAGGUACUUUAUCAAAAUUGAAAUUUCCUGGUCCACCAUAUACUUACUGAAUCAGAAACGGUGGUGGUGGUAGGGCCCAGGUGAUUCUAAUGUAUGGUAGAGUUUGAGGAAUACUGGACUACAUGAAAAUUAGUAGGAAAAAAUAAAAAUUGGGUUUAUAAUUAGCAAAUAAAUGUUAAAUAAAUGAUUCUUUUAAAAACUAUUUGUAAAAUGACUACUCAAGUCAAGAAAUAGUACAUUGCCAGCACCUUGGAUGCCUGUUUAUCCCUUCUCACUCACACCCCAAAGCAAACACUUCGUUUUAUUUUAUGCUUUUAAUAUCUAGGAAUACAUCCCUGAGUACAAGUUUUUGAAGUUUGUGUUAAUAAGCAAAAUAGUAAUAAAUAUUAAAAAAUGAUUGAGGCCACACGCAGUGGCUCACACCUGCAAUCCCAGCACUUUGGGAGGCAGAGACGGGCAUAUCACCUGAGGUCAGGACUUCGAGACCAGCCUGGCCAACAUGAUGAAACCCCGUCUCUACUUAAAAUACAAAAAAACUAGCCAGGCUUGGUGGCAGGUGCCUGUACUCCCAGCUACUCGGGAGGCUGAGGCAAAAGAAUCGCUUGAACCUGGGAGGCGGAGGUUGCAGUGAGCCGAGAUCAAUCGCGCCACUGCACUCCAGCCUGGCCAACAAGAGCAAAACUCCAUCACACACACACACACACACACACACACACACACACACACACACACACACACGAUUGGACUAUUUCCUUUACUUUGUUCAUAGAACUUGUUUUACAUAACGGACCUCAGGCUAUCCAAAUGAUCACAACUUCCUAAUUAGGAAGGUCUGAAUUAAUGAAGGUUCAAGAUUGCCUCCUUGGGGGCUAAUGUGUAUGCAAGCUGCGACCCACUGGUAACAGCUUUACUAUUUACUCUUCCCUGCCAGGGGAUUAGUGGAAUCUAAAUUGAACAGUUAGGUAUUUAAAACCACUCAUGUGGUUUUAACCACUAAAAGGGUUGUUAAGCAAGUCUUCUUUAAUUUUUUUUUUUGUUGAAAAUAUUAUAAAAUUGGUGUCUAAAUGCUGACAGUCAAUGGGCAACUUGGGAAAUUACUCAAUGUCUGUUUUGGGAAAACAGUAACUGGCACUUACAUAUCACAUGUGAUCUGAGUAGCGUUAACUCCUUCUCUAGAGUACAGGAUUGUAUGAAGUUGAGGUCCUACCCUUAAUUCUUUCACGUUGAAAUAUAUAGUUACAGGAAAGUGAGUUUAAAUUGAUUGCAUGUUACUGUCUCCCUUUUAGAGUCAUUUAUUUUAAGAACCACCAAGCCCAGCCUGGUUGCUAACUAUUUGGAUAACUGUUUGGAAUCACUACAUUCCUGAGUGAGUGAUUCAGACAACAGAGGUUUUUUAAAAAAACUUUAAAAAAAUUUUUAUCUUAAUAGUUUUUUUGGGUACAGGUGGUUUUUGGUUACAUAGGUAAGUUCAUUAAUGGUGAUUUCUGAGAUUCUGGUGCACCUGUUACCCACACAGUGUAUACUGUGCCCAAUAUGCAGUCUUUUUUCACUCACCCUCCUUCCACCGUUUCCCCUGGAGUCUGCAAAGUCCAUUAUAUUAUUCUUAUACCUUUGCAUCCUCAUAGCUUAGCUCCCACUUAUAAGUGAGACCAUAUGAUAUUUGGUUUUCCAUUCCUGAGUUACUUCACUUACUUACAAUAAUGGCCUCCAGCUCCAACCAAAUUGCUGCAAAAGACAUUACUUUGUUCCUGUUUAUGGCUAAGUAGUAUUCCAUGGUAUAUAUACUAUUUUCUUUCUUUUUCUUUUUUUUUUUUUUUUUUGAGACAGAGUCUCGCUCUGUUGCCCAGGCUGGAGUGCAGCAGCGCGAUCUCCGCUCACUGCAAGCUCCACCACCCGGGUUCAUGCCAUUCUCCUGACUCAGCCUCCCUAGUAGCUGGGACUACAGGCACCCACCACCACGCCCAGCUAAUUUUUUUGUAUUUUUAGUAGAGACAGGGUUUCACCGUGUUAGCCAGGAUCGUCUCAAUCUCCUGACUUCGUGAUCCACCCGCCUCGGCCUCCCAAAGUGCUGGAAUUAUAGGCGUGAGCCACCGUGCCCGGCUAUAUACUACAUUUUCUUUAUCCACUCCUUGGUUGAUGGGCACUUAGGUUGGUUCUGUAUUUUUGCAAUUGUUAAUUGCAGACAACUGAGGUUUUAAUGAAGAUUAUAGUGUUGAAGUAGGAUAUUUCUAAUAUUCUAGUCUUAUGAGGACUUAUAAAAUUGGGUAGAUUAUCAAAUCCUCAAAUUACGGCAUAUUCAUUUUGGCUUAUAUUUAAAAUAUUCCACCAUCAAGACUGGGGAAAAAAGUUCAUCAGAAACAUACGCUGAUAUUUGGCUAUAUUGUUUGUUUUUGCAUGCAUUUAUGCAAUAAACAAACAUCUGAUUUCUUGCACAGUCCCUCAGAUAUUCUCCUCACAUUAAAGAUUCCACUUACUUAUUCUGUGAUUUCUCUUAUUCUAUGAGACAAAAAUACAACAGAAUGUCAGAAGAGCCAGCUGAAAAUAUUCCAUGUGCAGAAAUUUAUUUUAAAUUUUAUUGCAUCACAUUAUACAAGC
rnacentral:lncRNA from 1 species